UGGGGAAUCUUGCACAAUGGGGGCAACCCUGAUGCAGCGACGCCGCGUGGGCGAUGAAGCCCUUCGGGGCGUAAAGCUCUUUCGACCGGAACGAUAAUGACGGUACCGGGAGAAGAAGCUGCGGCUAACUACGUGCCAGCAGCCGCGGUAAUACGUAGGCAGCAAGCGUUGUUCGGGUUACUGGGCGUAAAGAGUGCGUAGGCGGUUUUCUAAGUUCGGUGUGAAAUCUCCCGGCUUAACUGGGAGGGUGCGCCGAAGACUGGGAUGCUGAAGUGUGGGAAAGGCAGGCGGAAUUCCUGGUGUAGCGGUGAAAUGCGUAGAUAUCAGGAGGAACACCGGCGGUGUAGACGGCUUGCUAGACCAUAACUGACGCUGAGGCACGAAAGCGUGGGUAGCAAACA
rnacentral:rRNA from 1 species